rnacentral:rRNA from 1 species
UACGUAGGUGGCAAGCGUUGUCCGGAAUUAUUGGGCGUAAAGCGCGCGCAGGCGGCCUCUUAAGUCUGAUGUGAAAGCCCCCCGGCUCAACCGGGGAGGGCCAUUGGAAACUGGGAGGCUUGAGUAUAGGAGAGAAGAGUGAAUUCACGUGUAGCGGUGAAAUGCGUAGAGAUGUGGAGGAACACCAGUGGCGAAGGCGACUCUUUGGCCUAUAAACUGACGCUGAGGCGCGAAAGCGUGGGGAGCAAACAGG